rnacentral:tRNA from 1 species
GCCUGGGUGGCUCAGUCGGUUAAGCGUCCGACUUUGGCUCAGGUCAUGAUCUCGCGGUCUGUGGGUUCAAGCCCCACAUCAGGCU